rnacentral:rRNA from 1 species
UACGUAGGGCGCAAGCGUUGUCCGGAAUUAUUGGGCGUAAAGAGCUCGUAGGCGGUCUGUUACGUCCGCUGUGAAAACCCAGGGCUUAACCCUGGGCUUGCAGUGGAUACGGGCAGACUAGAGGCAGGUAGGGGAGAAUGGAAUUCCCGGUGUAGCGGUGAAAUGCGCAGAUAUCGGGAGGAACACCGGUGGCGAAGGCGGUUCUCUGGGCCUGACCUGACGCUGAGACGCGAAAGCGUGGGGAGCGAACAGG